GAUAAACGCUGGCGGCGUGCCUAACACAUGCAAGUCGAACGCCCUUUUGCGCAAGUGAGAGGGAGUGGCGGACGGGUGAGUACCACGUGGGUACCUACCUUGAGGUGAGGAAUACCACCGAGAAAUCGGUGACAAGACCGCAUACGCUUGGCAACAAGCAAAGUCUCGCAAGAGACGCCACAAGAUGGGCCUGCGCCUGAUUAGCUAGUUGGUGAGGUAAUGGCUCACCAAGGCGACGAUCAGUAGCUGGUCUGAGAGGAUGAUCAGCCACACUGGGAUUGAGAACGGCCCAGACUCC
rnacentral:rRNA from 1 species